CCUACGGGGGGCAGCAGUGGGGAAUAUUGGGCAAUGGAGGAAACCCUGACCCAGCAACGCCGCGUGAAUGAUGAAGGUUUUCGGAUUGUAAAGUUCUUUUCUCAGGGAAGAAGCAAGUGACGGUACCUUAGGAAUAAGCCUCGGCUAACUACGUGCCAGCAGCCGCGGUAAUACGUAGGUGGCAAGCGUUAUCCGGAUUGACUGGGUGUAAAGGGUGUGUAGGUGGGUAGACAAGUCGGUAGUGAAAACCAAGGGCUCAACCUGUGCACUACUACCAAAACUGUUUGUCUUGAGUGUUGGAGAGGCAAGUGGAAUUCCUGGUGUAGCGGUGGAAUGCGUAGAUAUUAGGAGGAACACCAGUGGCGAAGGCGAUUUGCUGGACAGUAACUGACGCUGAGGCACGAAAGCGUGGGGAGCAAACAGGAUUAGAUACCCGGGUAGUC
rnacentral:rRNA from 1 species